UGAGGCCUGUGAUGAUCGAAACAUUUGCCUACAUUGUCUGAUUGUUUUUCCUGAAAGAGAAUUUUCAAAUAUUCUGAGGCCUCA
rnacentral:snoRNA from 1 species